rnacentral:rRNA from 1 species
GACGAACGCUGGCGGCGUGCCUAAUACAUGCAAGUUGAGCGAUGAAGCUUGGUGCUUGCACCAAUUUGAAGAGCAGCGAACGGGUGAGUAACGCGUGGGGAAUCUGCCUUUGAGCGGGGGACAACAUUUGGAAACGAAUGCUAAUACCGCAUAACAACUUUAAACAUAAGUUUUAAGUUUGAAAGAUGCAAUUGCAUCACUCAAAGAUGAUCCCGCGUUGUAUUAGCUAGUUGGUGAGGUAAAGGCUCACCAAGGCGAUGAUACAUAGCCGACCUGAGAGGGUGAUCGGCCACAUUGGGACUGAGACACGGCCCAAACUCCUACGGGAGGCAGCAGUAGGGAAUCUUCGGCAAUGGACGAAAGUCUGACCGAGCAACGCCGCGUGAGUGAAGAAGGUUGUCGGAUCGGAAAACUCUGUUGGUAGAGAAGGACGUUGGUGAGAGUGGAAAGCUCAUCAAGUGACGGUAACUACCCAGAAAGGGACGGCUAACUACGUG